AUUGAACGCUGGCGGCAUGCCUUACACAUGCAAGUCGAACGGCAGCACGGGUGCUUGCACCUGGUAGCGAGUGGCGAACGGGUGAGUAGUACAUCGGAACGUACCUUAUCGUGGGGGAUAACGCAGCGAAAGCUGUGCUAAUACCGCAUACGCCCUGAGGGGGAAAGCGGGGGAUUGCAAGACCUCGCGCGAUUAGAGCGGCCGAUGCCUGAUUAGCUAGUUGGUGGGGUAAAAGCCCACCAAGGCGACGAUCAGUAGCUGGUCUGAGAGGACGAUCAGCCACACUGGGACUGAGACACGGCCCAGACUCCUACGGGAGGCAGCAGUGGGGAAUUUUGGGCAAUGGGGGCAACCCUGAUCCAGCAAUGCCGCGUGAGUGAAGAAGGCCUUCGGGUUGUAAAGCUCUUUUGUCAGGGAAGAAACACCGGCUCUAACACAGUCCGGGAAUGACGGUACCUGAAGAAUAAGCACCGGCUAACUACGUGCCAGCAGCCGCCGUAA
rnacentral:rRNA from 1 species